rnacentral:lncRNA from 1 species
GAGCAGCAGUUUCCAUCUCUCAAAACAACCAGGGCACAAGGAGUUGCCUGUGCAGGCAGCAUGGAGCCAACAGAGAAAGAGGGAUGGAGACAAAGAGCAGGAGAGCAAUGAGAUAAAAUGAGCCAGAGACAGAAGGCCAGGGGGUACCUCCUGAAUUGCUCUCACUGGGUCACAAAUCCUCCAGCACCUUCUAAGCAGAAGAGACAAGACGGCAAGGCUCUGACCUCUGAACUGCACCCACAGUCCAGUCAAAAAACAAAACAAAACAAAACAAAACAAAACAAAAACCUCUUCACUCUUCCCACCAAGUAACUGUAUUUGUAAACUUGUGUUUGUAAACUGUCCCUACAAAGCAAGGUCCAUGAGGUACCAGGUGACUUCAAGCCCUCACCCUGUCCAUUUUCCACCAAGUGCCCAGGGCAAUGUCUCCUUGAGAUCACUUCCCUACCUGUGAGGUGAGGCUGUGAUGGAGCUGCUGUAGAGGUUGGAGAAGAUCCUGAGCUCUGAUCAUAGCUGCUCAGCAAUGCUGGCUACUCAGCUCUGUUUCUUAAUCAGGAGUGAGAAAGGAAAGAUCCAUUUGGUUUUAUGGAGAACAAAGUGGAUGUCAGCCUUGGCUGUUUCACAGUCAGGGGACUUUAAAAACUACAAUGCUGCUGGGCUCUGCUCCCAGGCCUCUCAUGGGGGUCAAGUCUCCCUGACAGG